GCGCGGUUGGCGGGGCGGCCGGUGCCGCCCCGUCGCCGCGACCGACGGUCUUCCAGCCCGUCGCCCGAUCGUCCGGUCGGCGCGCCCC
rnacentral:tRNA from 1 species